ACUGCAGCAACAUCUAUUUAUCUAAUAUGUCAAUCAAUCUACCUAUUAAUGUCUUCAGAUCAAAAGAUUGCUGGGUAUUUAUGUUUAUAACUUGUCUCGUGUAAUUUUAUUACAUUCAGUCAACUACUGGCAGAAUAUAUCAUAUUGGUGAUAAAGUCUUCAUGCAUAGACUUUGGCACACAGAACUUGGAAGUAGAAGCCACUGGUGCAAAGUCUAACUAAUCAACAAUACCAGUUGUGCAACAACUGGUUUACGUUUUUUUAAUUUUUAUCUUGGAACUGAAAAGAAAAUUCAUGUCUGCCAUGGAGAUGAGAAGAACUUGACAGAGAAAAUAUACAUUCUAUACAUUUUUCAAAUUCAUAAAACAAUUUAAAAUCAGUUGGUAAAUCUAUCUUUCUAUCUGAUUUGAAAUGAACGAAGAAUUUCAUGGAUUUUUACCAAUAUUUUGCUAAUGUCUUCAAGUGCUGCUAUUUUUUUUUAUCCAUGAAACAAAAAAAUAAAAGAAGGAAAAAUUAUCAA